rnacentral:rRNA from 1 species
UACGUAGGGAGCGAGCGUUGUCCGGAUUCAUUGGGCGUAAAGAGCGUGUAGGCGGCCUUACAGGUCAGCUGUGAAAACUCGAGGCUCAACCUCGAGACGUCGGUUGAAACCGUACGGCUAGAGUCCGGAAGAGGAGAGUGGAAUUCCCGGUGUAGCGGUGAAAUGCGCAGAUAUCGGGAAGAACACCCGUGGCGAAGGCGGCUCUCUGGGACGGUACUGACGCUGAGACGCGAAAGCGUGGGGAGCGAACAGG